GCUAAAUGCAUCUUCUGUAAGCUGCUUUGGCUAAAGUCUGCUAAAUAAAGUUGGUCAUUGUAAUAGGGGGGCAUUGUGGACCACACAUGAACUUUUUAUGUGUCCUCCAGAGGCCUGGCAGGAAGAAGGGUUUAAAACAUAUGCCCAGCGUAAUUUCCGACUCUCAGAAUAUCCUGUCAGACAUACUUCUGCCUCAUUUAGCACUCAAACAGGAAGCCAUUUGUUCCAAUUGUGAAGUGAACCCAUUAAAUACAGCUCAGAAAGACACAUUUUCAUUUUCAGAAAACCUAGCUAUUAUCAUGAAACGUGGCCAGGAUAGUUUUUACUAAAUUUACUUCAAAACAGAGUAAACUGUUCAUUUCGAUGGGAACUGUUUUCAGUAUGCCGGUGCCACGCUUUUGCAUACAUUUGAUACUUUCCAGAUAUCGAAAAAGGGUUAGCUGUCACUUCAUAACGUUGUUUCAGGAAAAAGUACAAAGACCAGGUUCAUCUUAAUGAUGAAUUAUGCUGACCAAAACAACCGCUGUCCUGGCACCAUGAAAACCAGAUCAUUCUGUGGGUCUAGAUUGAAGUCCUUGGACAAGAUGGCGUGGAAGCAGACAGUGACGCUAUCUGUUGAAGUUUCCUGCUGUAGACUCUGUGGGCUUUUGAAGUCAACAAUAAAGCAAUAAAAAUCAGCAGACUCAAAGGA